rnacentral:sRNA from 13 species
UAGCUCAAUUUUGAAGCGAGUUAUGCGCCUUUAAAGUUGGAGACAAGAGAGUGAGAGGCGGCAGAGAAACAGACAGUCGUUUUCUCUGCCAUCUCUCAUUCUCUCACCCUCAACUUUAAAGGCGCAUAAAUCGCUUUAAAAUAGAGCUU